UACAGGGGGGGCAAGCGUUGUCCGGAAUUACUGGGUGUAAAGGGUCCGUAGGCGGAUCGGUAAGUCAGUGGUUAAAUCCUGCAGGUUAACUGUAGACUAUCCAUUGAUACUGCCGGUCUUGAGUGCGAGAGAGAUGAGUGGAAUUCCAAGUGUAGCGGUGAAAUGCGUAGAGAUUUGGAAGAACACUAGUUGCGAAGGCGGCUCAUUGGCUCGCUACUGACGCUGAGGAACGAAAGCGUGGGGAGCAAACAGG
rnacentral:rRNA from 1 species